rnacentral:rRNA from 1 species
AUUGAACGCUGGCGGCAGGCCUAACACAUGCAAGUCGAGCGGAGCGGCGGACGGGUGAGUAAUGCGUAUCAACCUGCCCUUCAGAGGGGGACAACAGUUGGAAACGACUGCUAAUACCGCAUACUGAAGGAGGGGAUUGCGGCUGAUUAGCUAGUUGGUGGGGUAAAGGCCUACCAAGGCGACGAUCCGUAACUGGUCUGAGAGGAUGAUCAGUCACACUGGAACUGAGACACGGUCCAGACUCCUACGGGAGGCAGCAGUGGGGAAUAUUGGACAAUGGGCGAAAGCCUGAUCCAGCCAUGCCGCGUGUGUGAAGAAGGUCUUCGGAUUGUAAAGCACUUUAAGUUGGGAGGCGUUACCAACAGAAUAAGCACCGGCUAACUUCGUGCCAGCAGCCGCGGUAAUUC